AUGAAUGAAUUACGCCAAACGUACGGAUGAAUUUUCUUCCGCCGAAGUACAAGAUCGGAAACAAUAAGCCACUUUUGGACCAGAAAAUUGGCAGACAUCAUUGAUCAUCACACACGAAACAAGCCAAAACGAUAUUUUCGCACGAAUUUAUUUUUGGUAUUCAUUUACAAUUUUUGUUUGGCUGAUUUAUUCAUUGUCAACGGAUCUGGGGCCGGACCCGUGCUCCCCUUUUGGACAACCAUGCCUGACAAUGCCAGUGAGGAUGAUGGCUACGAGCCUUUCUCCAUUGAGAAACUUGCCAAGCUAUUCCCUGAUGGAACGGCCAAGGAUCAGUGGUCUUUUACCAAGCUUAUCCCUUUGAUACGACAGAUGAUCCCAGCCAUAGACAGCGAUCUGGAAUGCGUACAAAAGUACCCUGUAUACCACGAGGAUUUGAACGGCUUGAUUACCAAGUGCUUCCAGGCCCAAGUCUCCCCGCUUAUCACCCCGAUCGUGGAAGAGAACAAGCGCCUUAAUGCAGAGCUAACUACGGUGAAGGCCCAGAUACGCGAAUUACAAGAACGACAGAAAAGGUACGAUGAGGCCUCUGCAACACUGCAGGCACUCCGGGACGAAGUUACAGCCUUGAAAGCAACCACUGUCAAAUUACCUACGAAUACCGUCGCAACUGGUGGAUUAGUUCCUCAACCCUCCGGGUUUCGAUCCACCACAACGACACCUGUCGACACACCAGUGAAAGGUUUCCCGUCCAAUGAAGUUUCACAAGCGUCAACCCCUGACUGCAAGGUUUCCCCUCCUUGCUUCGAUGAAACCCCUCUGAGUGGGCCCGCUACCAAAGAAUCCUGGACAACCAUCGUUAAAAAGGGAAAAGUGGUUCGCGGUACUCGCGAGAAGGCUUCUAACGCUUCAAAUGACAUCAUCAUGUCGACCCUACAGCUUAAGCGUGUCUCUAAAACCGACAAGGAAAGAGAGAAAAAGGAUUUCUGUCUACACGGCAUCCCCCCGCUGGAGCAGACUGAGCACCAGACCCCUGACGACUACAGUAGGGAUUUGAAGGCAACCAUCGAAUCCAUCGGGAUCUCUGUCAGAUUUGUCUCAAUUUAUUCUGCUAAAAAGGGUCGUAAGAAUAGUUUGUUCGCACGUGUUGGUUCUUACGCCAGUGAGUCUGAAAAAAUGUUCACGGCAGACAACUGGCCCCCUAACAUCGGGGUGCGUGAAUGGCAGUUCACCCCUAAGGAGCAGUAGUUGCCGCUGUCUCGUUUGCAUACUUAAUCAAACUUCUGUUUUCUAGUACUUAGUUUGUACUUUCACGUGAUACUUAUUAAAGGUCCUUUUGAUUUCAACCAAUCAACACUUCACAAACUGUGCAGUUCAGUUCAGUUCAAAUCAAGGCUUGGAGUCGGCUUGCCCGUCCGCCCCGUAGGGUUGAUAAUUAAACAAGGAAUAACUACUGUGCGCCUCAUCGUACAAAAAAACACAAAAAUACUCAACAAAUAGAGCAAGCUUUAAUUAGUACACACUACACAGCUUGGGCGCACCAAGACGUCCAAGCCGAAGAAACAAAAGAGAGCCCGAAAACACCAUCGGCUCAUGUAAAAGUAAGAUUGUCUCAGCCAUCUCGAUUCGGUGGGCGGAGCGUACGCUCAACACAGAUCCCUACUAUUCGAAGCAGGUUUGGUAUGGAUGCUCAACCACACGAUGUGGCUGUAUGCAGGCCUCGUCUACAGACUACAGAUACGGUACGCGAAUCCACCUCGCGAGCUGGAGUUGCUGUGUCGCACCAAGAUUCGCUUUGAAUUCGGGACAAGGCCUAAUUUGUUUAUAGAAAAAGCCAACUGCUCAGGAAGUCUUAACGGAAUUGCGCGCUGUUCAGCUUACUGGUC